GCGGACGUGCUGGAACCGGUAGACAGACCGGACUUAAAAUCCGUUGGGCGUAAGCCCGUGAGGGUUCGACUCCCUCCGUCCGCA
rnacentral:tRNA from 1 species